UGAAGUUUUGCUUUUGGAGGAAAACACAUUGAAACUUCAAAUAUAGAGUUUUGAAAACUUCAUAAUAGAGUGUCUUUUUGGAGAUGCUCUAAAGAAGGAUUAUGUUUGUACGGGAAUUAAAAAUAAUAAUUCUUACUGGAAUUUUUAGCCCUUUCUCAGAAAAAAAUUCUUACUGGAAUUUUUAACUAGAGAAACAGUUUUCAAUUUUAGGAGAGUAUAAAAUUUAGUAGUCGAAGAAAGACGGACGAAAUAAGCACCAACCGUCAUUACUCUUCGGUCAUUGAUAUCCAAAGAUUAUCGGUCAUUGGUCAUUAGUACCCAAAGAUUUAAUUUUAGAAAGGAGUAUAAGAAAUUAAUUAGAGAAUCAAAGUGGUGCGAUAAAUCCCGGUAAAAAGCAUUAAAAUCCGGGUUGUUACCAUAAUAGGCACCAAACGUUAUUACUCAUUAGUAUCCAAAGAUUUAACCGAAUACAAUAUAUAAAUAAACAAGUUAACAACUUACUCUCUCCCUCAUUCACAAGUUUACCUACAAACCUAAGAACUGUUCUUGUACAAAAUUGAAGCCGUCUCUUUUUUGGUUUCUAAAUUUUCACAAUCACUAAUUUCAGUUUGCAUUACGUAUGGUUAAUCUUCUGUAGAAGAUGCAUCUUCUAAUCAUGAGUGUGCGCCUUUAUGAGAGAGGAUCAAAUUCCCAGCCUAUCGAUUUUGGAAGACCUUUUUCUCUUGGACUUUAUCAAGAAGAGAAACGAGAGUCAACCCAUAUAAGAUCACUCGACAAGAUCACAAACCUCCCAAGAUGGCCGGUUUAUAAGAUCGAGAUUCUGUUAAUAAGGCCGGUGCGGAAAUAACACUACAAGAUUUGAUGAAUCUAUUCAUUUGCUUUCCUCUGCUUCUGGGAUUUUCUUCUUCGUUUAGUUUAUUCUUUCUGAUAUUGUUUAACAGACUCUUGUUCGAUGUAUAAUGUAGUAUUAUAAUAAUCUUGACAUAUCUAUGUAAGUUUUUGUGUAUGUUUUUCUUUUAAUAAUAAUUUCCUAAUUGUGUAGUUCUAA